rnacentral:misc_RNA from 1 species
AAAGUCGUAACAAGGUUUCCGUAGGUGAACCUGCGGAAGGAUCAUUACACUCAGUAGAUUUCUACUGCUCGGGGGGAGCGGAAAGUGUUUUGCACGAGUACGCUCUCUUUCUGAAACCCUUGUCUUUUUGCGUACUUCUGUUUCCUCGGCGGGUUCGCCCGCCGGCUGGACAACUCAAUAACCUUUUUAAUUUUCAAUCAGCGUCUGAAUAAUUAUAAUAAUUACAACUUUCAACAACGGAUCUCUUGGUUCUG